rnacentral:rRNA from 1 species
GGAUCAUUACACAAAUAUGAAGGCGGGCUGGAACCUCUCGGGGUUACAGCCUUGCUGAAUUAUUCACCCUUGUCUUUUGCGUACUUCUUGUUUCCUUGGUGGGUUCGCCCACCACUAGGACAAACAUAAACCUUUUGUAAUUGCAAUCAGCGUCAGUAACAAAUUAAUAAUUACAACUUUCAACAACGGAUCUCUUGGUUCUGGCAUCGAUGAAGAACGCAGCGAAAUGCGAUAAGUAGUGUGAAUUGCAGAAUUCAGUGAAUCAUCGAAUCUUUGAACGCACAUUGCGCCCUUUGGUAUUCCAAAGGGCAUGCCUGUUCGAGCGUCAUUUGUACCCUCAAGCUUUGCUUGGUGUUGGGCGUCUUGUCUCUAGCUUUGCUGGAGACUCGCCUUAAAGUAAUUGGCAGCCGGCCUACUGGUUUCGGAGCGCAGCACAAGUCGCACUCUCUAUCAGCAAAGGUCUAGCAUCCAUUAAGCCUUUUUUUCAACUUUUGACCUCGGAUCAGGUAGGGAUACCCGCUGAACUUAAGCAUAUCAAUAAGCGGAGGAAAAGAAACCAACAGGGAUUGCCCUAGUAACGGCGAGUGAAGCGGCAACAGCUCAAAUUUGAAAUCUGGCUCUUUUAGAGUCCGAGUUGUAAUUUGCAGAGGGCGCUUUGGCUUUGGCAGCGGUCCAAGUUCCUUGGAACAGGACGUCACAGAGGGUGAGAAUCCCGUACGUGGUCGCUGGCUAUUGCCGUGUAAAGCCCCUUCGACGAGUCGAGUUGUUUGGGAAUGCAGCUCUAAAUGGGAGGUACAUUUCUUCUAAAGCUAAAUAUUGGCCAGAGACCGAUAGCGCACAAGUAGAGUGAUCGAAAGAUGAAAAGCACUUUGGAAAGAGAGUCAAACAGCACGUGAAAUUGUUGAAAGGGAAGCGCUUGCAGCCAGACUUGCUUACAGUUGCUCAUCCGGGUUUCUACCCGGUGCACUCUUCUGUAGGCAGGCCAGCAUCAGUUUGGGCGGUAGGAUAAAGGUCUCUGUCACGUACCUCCUUUCGGGGAGGCCAAAUAGGGGAGACGACAUACUACCAGCCUGGACUGAGGUCCGCGCAUCUGCUA